CAUAAAAAAGAAAAACAUCGUUCAAAUAUUACAAUCCAACAACAACAACCAACCAUAACCAAGCGAGAAAUUCAAGAUUUUUUUAAACCAGCUGAACAAAUUUACGAUUAUGAUGUUCAAUCUCGCAAUGGUCAUAAGCGCUCAUAUCAUAAGGAAAAUUCAAACGAAGCGGCAAAUGCUAAAAAAGCACGUUUACUUCUUGUACAGUCUCCCGGCUUUAUCCACAUCCCUCAUUAUGGGUUUGUUAUGGACAAUGUAUGUUUGAAAAGGUUUAAUGUAUGUGAAGCUGUUAUGUGUGUGUGUGUGUGUGUGUGUGUGUGUGAAACAUUCCUAUGCAUAACGUAUGAUUUAGCUAGGUACUUAUUCGUAAAUGAAUAAAAUAGGUAUCGAUAUGUUAACUAUAUAUAAUAUGUUUGGUUGUUGUGUAUGUGUGAUGUAAGAUUACUUAUGUAAUAUGUGUGUAUUGCGUUUAGUAUGUAUGUGAUGGUAAAUAUGUUAUGUGUGUGUGUAAAUAAAAGGGGAAGAAAUAUAAUUGAUUGGGAAGGGGAAAAAUAUUUGAUGGUCAGGUGUCAUAUUUAGUCAAAAUCAGAAUAUUAUAUACAUUAUUUUUCUUCAAAAGGUAGGGGGUUUGAAGGAGAAGGUAUAAAUUAAUAUAUGCCGGUUACGUGUAGGAUCUGGUGUUGGUGUUGGGUUUAUGCGUGUUGCAGGUUGCCUAUAUUGAGUAAUUAAUACAAGUUUGGGAGGAGCUGUGUAGUUGUUGCCUAUACAGAGGAGCCUAUGCUUUUAUAUGUAAACUUUAAGGGGGAGGAGAUCUAGAAUCCCCAUUUUACACCUACUAUUUAUAUAAUUAAUAUGUGUUUACAUAAAAAAUUAAUAAACAAAUAGGUACAAUUGCCUACUGGAAUAGAGCUCAAAUUGUACGUUUCGUUCAUACUAUCAUCACACACGCUUGUCGUAACUAAAAUAAUGAUUUAUGUUCCUUCUAAGGCCAAUCUUUUUUUAUUCACGUACCCCAAGUAUAAAUUUAGAAUAUAAAUAAUCGAAAAUAAUAGUAAUAUUAAUACGUUUUUUUUAGGAGUAAGAAACGUAGAAGCUGUAGAAAAAAUGUUUUUAAUAAGUAAAUAAUAUAAUAUAAAUAAACUUUAAAAAUUUCCUGACUUACAAAGUAGAGAAUGAUCUAUACCUCAUAGAAAAAUGUAUACCUAUUAUUUGUAUAAUAUUUACCUCACAUCUUUAAUUAGUUAAAAUAGUGUUAAAAAAUUUCCAUCCGCUACUACUUGAUUUCUUCUAUUCGUAGAUUGAUAACCGCCAUGGUUAAUUACUAACUUCAAAGCAAAAGUUUAUUAAAUCAGGUAGUUUGCCUUUUAAUACCAAUGAUAAAAUCUUCACAAACUCGGACCCAGUUAGGCUCUCCUCGUUUGUUAUGCAACUUAUUAAAAACAUUUUUUCUACAGCUUCUACGUUUCUUACUCCUAAAAAAACGUCCAUGAAUUGCAUGAAUAGUAACUGAUCCAUAGGAAUUGUAUCUUCUUUUGUUAGGAUGUAGUGCAUCUGCAGUAAUCGCAGUACUUCGAUUUUGUUAAAAUGUGUUGAUCUCGAAAGUUCGGUUGCAAUUUCUGAAUAUCGGUGCUGCAGACGAAUGUCCACGGUCACCGUACAAGUAUUGAAGCAACACCUGUUGGAACAGAAAUAGACUUUUUAGUAGCUGAUAAUGCUCUACCUGAAUCAUCAUCAAGGGAUGAACAAAAUCUCAACAAACCUUGUAUGAAUUGUCUUCCUGGUGAUGAAAAUAUUAUUUUAACGCCAUUGUCUAAUUUAGAAUGUAAUGAAGUCGAUUAAACUUUUGAAUCGUCAACAAAGAAAAAAUGUUGGUCUGGACGGCGAAUUGUAGAUAUAUACUACAUAUUUGAACAAAUUAAAACGUGUGUUCACGAGGGAAGUUUUGGAUGUUCAUUUAUGGAUAUGGAGUUUAUAUCUGAAAAGCAAUAUGGCCUGAGAUCUACGUAUACAUUUAAAUCUGCGAUCGGUGGUUCAAUUUCAAUUGGAAUAGGAUAUUCUCAGCUCGAAGAAAUGUUGGCUUCAUUAGAUAUCCCUUGCAUGAGUGAUAAAACGUUUCAAUCUUGCCAAAAUCAAAUUAGUGAAUCUAUUCAUCAGGUCGCUGAGGAAGCAAUGAGAAUCGCAGGGGAAGAAGAAAAAAAAUUAGCUAUUGAAUCGGGAGAAAUUGAUAUUGACGGGACACCUAUGUGUGCCGUUGUUGCCGAUGGUCAAUGGUCUAAGCGUAGCUAUAAGACCAAAUACAACGCAUUACCUGGAGUGGCAACAAUUAUCGGAUAUAAAACCAAAAAAAUAUUAUUUAUCGGUAGCCGCAAUCGAUAUUGUUUAAUAUGCCAAAGAGCAAAAAAUACGAAUGUCGCUAUACAAGAACAUGUUUGUUUUAUGAACUGGAAUAAAGCUGCUACAGCAAUGGAAGCAGAUGCCGUUGCAGAAGGUUUCAAAAGAAGCAUUGAAUUACACGGAUUGAAAUUUAAUAAAUUAAUUGGCGACGGUGAUUCAAAUGUCAGUAAAAGAUUGACAGAAACAAGACCUUAUGGACCUAAUUUUAUUAUUGAAAAAAUUGAAUGCCGAAAUCACUUAUUAAGAAAUUAUGGUACAAAGUUAGCGGCAUUUGGUAAAAACACAAAAUAUCCAAUAUAUCUCAGAAAACAUAUAUUAAAUAAUGCGAAGAGAUUUAGAACUGCUAUUACGAAAGCUAUUGAUUAUCGUAAUACAUUAAAUCAACAAAGCAAAUAUCAAAAAAAUUCAGGUUUACGCAAAGAUAUAUCAAAUAGUUUUUGUCAUAUUUUGGGUAAUCAUGAGCAAUGUGAAGAAUAUUUUUGCAAAGGUAAAAAAUUAAAUGAAGUAAACCUAUACGAAGAUGCGGAAAAAUGUGGUCUUUACAGAGAAGUAAAUCAAAUAAUCAAACGAUUAGCAAUGCAUGCAGAUAGUUUGUUAAUGAAUGUGGAUAAUAACGUAUGCGAGCAAUUCAACAGCAUUAUUAACAAACAUUUGGCUGGCAAACGAAUAAAUUUUUCAUUACGUCAAUCAUAUAACACUCGAAUUGAAUCCGGAGUAAUUUCAUACAACACCUCAGGCCAACUAUUGCGCUCAUUACACAAACAUGUAGUCCAUAAAAUUAGUCCAGGAAAUGUUGGUAAACGUUUUUUAAAAUCAAGAGAACGAAAAACCGUGUUAUUAAAAAACAGAAGAAAAUUAAUUCCUAAAAGGAAAUUAUUUUUAGAUAAAUCGUGUGGGGCCGAUGCAAAUUACGGUUUAGCUGAAGCACUAAUUGACGAGUAUACGCAGGACGAUCUCGAACGUAAAAAAACAUCCAACUUUGGACGGAUUUGUAAACGAAGACCAACUACCUCAUGUAAAAAUAUUAUAUAUGAUUUACUAUAUAGAUCAUUUACAUCAAUCGCAACUGAAUAUGGUAAAGAAAUGGAGCCAUUAGCGAUUAAAGAAUUUGAAAAUAUAAAAGGCAAAACAAUUUUACCUUGUGGUCUGAUGAUUGAUCAAGAUUUUUCGUAUUUAGCUGCAUCUCCAGAUGGUUUAACCGAAGAUAAUGGUUUAGUAGAAAUUAAGUGUCCUUAUUCAGCGAAAGAUUAUACAAAUAUUAAUGACGCUAUAAUAGAAAAAAAGAUAAACUUUCUUCGAUUAAAUUUAAAUAAAGAACCCGAAUUAAAAAAAAACGCAUGAUUACUAUUAUCAGAUACAAGGGCAGCUGCAUAUUAGUAAAAAAAAAAUAUUGUGAUUUUAUAGUGUAUUCUAGUAAUUGGUUACAUGUAGAAACUAUUUAUUAUAAUAAUGGAUUUUGGAUAAAUGUCAUGCAACCUAAAUUAACAAUGUUUUACUUAAAUUGCUUGUUACCAGAAAUCGUGAUACCUCAGUAUGGUAAACGACUAUUAGUUGAAGAUAUCAAAGACCCUGAAGAAAUGAAGACAUAAGAUCUAACCUUAUAUACCUAGCUAGUAGCUACCUAUGCUUUAUAUAAAAUAUUUUUAUUUAAAUAAUAAACUAAUGAAAUAUUAAAAUAUUUUAAUUAUUUUUUAU